AAAAAUAUAAUUUAUGUGAUUAUUUAUAUGAUUGUACGUAUAAAAUAUUAUUAAUUAUAAGAAAACUUAUUUGAUGGUACGUAUAAAAUAUGAUUAAUUAUAUGAUAACACAUAUUUUGUAACCUAUGAUGACACAUAUAUGAUAUAUAUAUAAUAGUGAUUAGGGGUGGGCGUUCGGGUUCGUUUUCGGGUAUUUUUGGGAUUUCGUGUUCAUUUCAGAUCUUUGAGGAUUUGGUUCGGAUUUGGAUAAUCAAUUUAAAUAGGUUUGGUUUAAAUAUUUGGUAGAGAAUUAAUAAUUUUUUAAGUAUUUUUGGAGUUUUGAGUAUAUUUUAACUAUUUAAGAUAUUUACGUUUGAUUAUUUGUAUAUAUUUUCAAGCAUUUAAGCAAACUUAAAAGUAUCAUAUAUAUUUUGGAUGUUU
rnacentral:lncRNA from 1 species